AGACAGUGUGUGAAAACUAAACAGAAAGGUUACUGGCUCUUUAUAAUACUGAACACUGAAGUUCACGUGAUUUUCUGUGUUUCUGGAGGACAGACAAGGAUAGAGCAGAACAGAACUGACAUUAACUCAGAGCAGCAGACGUUUCUGUUUAUCAGAUCACAAACCUGUUGAUGAAGAAGAGAAGAUCCUUGAAGACGUUGAAGAAGUAAUUACAGCAGAUUUGGUCAAAAGUGCUUCAUUCCUGAACUUUGUUCCUAAGUCACACAUCACGAUGGGGUUUUACACAUGUGUACAAAAGCAACUUCCUGAAUCUGAUGGAAAUAAUAAAACCACUCUUGAGAAAGGGGGAAGAAACCCACCUGAUGUCACUUUAGAUGACAUAGCUAAAGAUUUGUUGUCAUUUUUUAACAGGUUUGAGAGCUUACGUAACACAAAAAACAAUAUUGAAGAGAAAUAUGACAUUAAAAAUGAGUAUGGUGAUUACUGGUCAGCUGAUGAUAUCAAACGAGCUUGGGGAAAAACACAAAGAAUGGAUAAAAAAUCAGAUAAAAGAAAACACUGGGCUCAUGUGAUCAU